GACGAACGCUGGCGGCGUGCUUAACACAUGCAAGUCGAACGGAAAGGCCCUGCUUUUGUGGGGUGCUCGAGUGGCGAACGGGUGAGUAACACGUGAGUAACCUGCCCUUGACUUUGGGAUAACUUCACGAAACUGGGGCUAAUACCGGAUAGGAGCUCCUGCUGCAUGGUGGGGGUUGGAAAGUUUCGGCGGUUGGGGAUGGACUCGCGGCUUAUCAGCUUGUUGGUGGGGUAGUGGCUUACCAAGGCUUUGACGGGUAGCCGGCCUGAGAGGGUGACCGGCCACAUUGGGACUGAGAUACGGACCAGACUCCUACGGGAGGCAGCAGUGGGGAAUAUUGCACAAUGGGCGGAAGCCUGAUGCAGCAACGCCGCGUGCGGGAUGACGGCCUUCGGGUUGUAAACCGCUUUCGCCUGUGACGAAGCGUGAGUGACGGUAAUGGGUAAAGAAGCACCGGCUAACUACGUG
rnacentral:rRNA from 1 species